rnacentral:rRNA from 1 species
AACGUGCCCAGUCGUGGGGGAGUAACGUAGCGAAAGCUACGCUAAUACCGACAUACGAUCUACGGAUGAAAGCGGGGGAUCGCAAGACCUCGCGCGAUUGGAGCGGCCGAUAUCAGAUUAGGUAGUUGGUGGGGUAAAAGCUCACCAAGGCGACGAUCUUUAGCUGGUCUGAGAGGAUGAUCAGCCACACUGGGACUGAGACACGGCCCAGACUCCUACGGGAGGCAGCAGUAAGGAAUAUUGGUCAAUGGGCGGAAGCCUGAACCAGCCAUGCCGCGUGCAGGAAGACGGCCCUAUGGGUUGUAAACUGCUUUUGUACCGGAAUAAACCCUUUUACGUGUAAGAGGCUGAAUGUACGGUAAGAAUAAGGAUCGGCUAACUCCGUG